rnacentral:rRNA from 1 species
UACGUAGGGCGCAAGCGUUGUCCGGAAUUAUUGGGCGUAAAGAGCUCGUAGGCGGCCUGUUACGUCUGCUGUGAAAUCCCGGGGCUUAACCCCGGGCGUGCAGUGGAUACGGGCAGGCUGGAGGCAGGCAGGGGAGAACGGAAUUCCCGGUGUAGCGGUGAAAUGCGCAGAUAUCGGGAGGAACACCGGUGGCGAAGGCGGCGACCUGGACGGACAUUGACGCUGAGACGCGAAAGCGUGGGGAGCAAACAGG